CAAGUGAAACCGUGCCUACCCGGCCGGAUUCUCAAACCACUGUGAACACAACUCUCCGUUGCCUCGGCGGGCCGGGCUGCCCGGCUCUCGCCUGGACGCUCCCUCCUCGCGGAGGAGCCGCCCGCCGCAGGACCUUUCAAACCAAUUCGUUGACGAACGUCUGAUUUACUAUUUAAAUUGAAAUA
rnacentral:misc_RNA from 1 species